GCCACUAGGGCGCACACGCUGACGCUUGCCACCGCGCCACCCUUGCCACUGCUGCAGUGCACCGACAGGCCCUGGGGCGCCGCGGGUCGGAGAAGAGAAGCAAAGGCCCCUCACCCAGCUGCCAGCCUCGGGAGCAAGGGGACAGGCGCGCCGCAGAGGCAGGACGCCCCGCCCACGCGCCGCUCUGCGCAGAAAGUCGUACGCCCGUGGGAAACCACUCAGCAAACAGAGAUGGAGAGCUGUGGACAAGGUGCCCAAGACGGCGCGGGGGCAUCUCCAGGGCAGCGCGCCCGUGAGCAACGCCGGGCUCCUGCGUCCCCUCCUGCCUAACUCCAUCUCUGUGCGUCCUUGAAAUAAGAAAAAAAUUGUAGAAUGGAGAAUAGGUCAGAGGUCGCCCUGGUGAGGAGAGGGGGGCAUGAGGGCUGGCCGUGACAACAAAAGGAGCCACCCAGGAGAGAGCUUAAUGCAGUGGAAUCUUCCAGUGCCGACCCCCGCCCCCCCCCCCCAGGUGGGGAUGAAACCCAGGGCCUUGGGCAUCUGGGCAGACACUCCACCACUGCUGCAGCCCCAGCAUUUCCAGUGCCUUUAAAAUUAGGCUGGGGAUAUAGCUCAGUUGGUAGAGUGCUUGCCUCACAUGCGCAAGGCCCUGGGUUCAAUCCCCAGCACCACACACACAAAAAGAUACAUAAAUAAUGUAUAUAUUUAUGGGGUGCAUAUUUAUGGGGUACAUUGGAACCUGUAAUGUUCCAAUCAGGGUAAACAUCUCUCCUGCCAUGAACUCACCCAGUAUCUUCAUUGCAGGUGCUCAGGUGAAUCUGCACACCUGACCAAAUGGCCCAGAUCCCCAUACAUGUGCUGUACCAGUGUCCGCUUCCUGGUUUUGACUUUGCCCUUUAGCUAGUAAGGUUCUUCAUCAGGAGAAACUGGGUGACAUUGAACCUCUGUAUCAUCUUUGCAACUUCCUGUGAAUCUGUAAUUGUUCAAUAAUAUUUUUUUUUUAAAGUAUGCUCUGAGAAAUCUGCCUCCUGUAAAUCAGUAGUUGGCCUGGUGUGAAUUUUGUUAUGACAGCCUCUCUUAAUUCUUUGAAUUUCUUCACUAUAAUGUGUCAGGUAUAAUUUAGUGAAAUUAUCUUUAUUAAUAAUUAAUGUUUUUCCUAAUGGGCAACUCUAUUUGGUCCUCUUUGCACUUUGUUUAAAACAAUGCUUAGGAACAGCCCCCAAUCCUCAGCUCUUGUGGUCCAGUUCCUAGUCCUGUUCCCAGUCUCAUCAAGACACAAAUAGUCUCAUUUGUCCCUAUGAUUCUUGGUGGUCCCCGCCCCCCCCCCACACAGACAGUGCACCUGAGUAAGACUGAGGCGGGAAGUCAGGGGGCCAUCCUUCUUCCAAGCAGGAGGAGAACCAUUAUGAAAUGGGCUAGGGGGCCAAAACCCAGCUGGACACCUCGCCUGCAGAAAUUGUCCCCAGGCAGAUCAGGGUUAGAUAAGGGAGCCAGUGGAGGCUGAGGAUCUGUAAACUGCUCCUCUGAAAACUAUCCAUGUGCCUUGGGACCUGGAAAGUCACCAAGACACUUUCUACCACAAGUCCCCAGUCCCCAUCUGAGGACAACGUGAGUGGCUCUAUUUUACAGCGGAGAAAAAUGAGUCUGGGUUAAGUAAUUUACUAAAGAUCACUUGGCAGUGGCUAUACUGAGUCAGAAGUCUACAGACAAACUUCCAAAUUCAUUUUCUUUCAAAUGCUGCUUUGUGAAAACACUGUUUAUGGGUUUUCCCUAGUACCAUAUGGAUAGGAGCAAAAUUACCCUUUUGUGGACAUUAGAAUUUGUCUGGUGUUGCCAGAUGUGGUGGUGCACCACUGUAAUCCCAGCAGGUCAGGAGGCUGAGGCAGGAGGAUCACAAGUACGAGGCCAGCCUCAGCAAUUUAGCUUUAGCGCUGCCCCUCAGCAACUUAGUGAGACUCUGUCUUAAAAUAAAAAAUAAAAAGAACUGGGAAUGUGGCUCAGUGGUUAAGCACCCAGGGUUCAAUCCCCAGUACCAAAAAAAAAAAAAAAAAAAGAAAUCGCUUUCUUUUAAUAACAUUGAUGAUACCUACCUGCUGA